UGCAAGUCGAGCGGAUGACGGGAGCUUGCUCCUUGAUUCAGCGGCGGACGGGUGAGUAAUGCCUAGGAAUCUGCCUGGUAGUGGGGGACAACGUUUCGAAAGGAACGCUAAUACCGCAUACGUCCUACGGGAGAAAGCAGGGGACCUUCGGGCCUUGCGCUAUCAGAUGAGCCUAGGUCGGAUUAGCUAGUUGGUGGGGUAAUGGCUCACCAAGGCGACGAUCCGUAACUGGUCUGAGAGGAUGAUCAGUCACACUGGAACUGAGACACGGUCCAGACUCCUACGGGAGGCAGCAGUGGGGAAUAUUGGACAAUGGGCGAAAGCCUGAUCCAGCCAUGCCGCGUGUGUGAAGAAGGUCUUCGGAUUGUAAAGCACUUUAAGUUG
rnacentral:rRNA from 1 species